AACGCUAGCUACAGGCUUAACACAUGCAAGUCGAGGGGCAGCGCAGUGUAGCAAUACAUGGGCGGCGACCGGCGCACGGGUGCGUAACGCGUAUCCAACCUUCCCGUUACUCUUGGAUAGCCUUCCGAAAGGGAGAUUAAUACAAGAUGGUAUUCAAAUUUCGCAUGUUAUUUGAAUUAAAGAUUUAUCGGUAACGGAUGGGGAUGCGUGACAUUAGGUAGAUGGCGGGGUAACGGCCCACCAUGCCUACGAUGUCUAGGGGUUCUGAGAGGAAGGUCCCCCACACUGGAACUGAGACACGGUCCAGACUCCUACGGGAGGCAGCAGUGAGGAAUAUUGGUCAAUGGUCGGAAGACUGAACCAGCCAAGUAGCGUGAAGGAUGAAGGUUCUAUGGAUUGUAAACUUCUUUUAUACGGGAAUAAAACCUCCUACGUGUAGGAGCUUGUAUGUACCGUAUGAAUAAGCAUCGGCUAACUCCGUGCCAGCAGCCGCGGUAAUACGGAGGAUGCGAGCGUUAUCCGGAUUUAUUGGGUUUAAAGGGAGCGUAGACGGGAGAUUAAGUCAGUUGUGAAAGGCUGCGGCUCAACCGCAGCACUGCAGUUGAUACUGGUUUCCUUGAGUUCGGUUGAGGUGUAUGGAAUUCGUGGUGUAGCGGUGAAAUGCUUAGAUAUCACGAAGAACUCCGAUUG
rnacentral:rRNA from 1 species